GCAAGUAUACAGUGAAACUGCGAAUGGCUCAGUAAAUCUGCAAACAUCUAUUUGAUAGUACCUUCUACAUGGAUAUCCGUGGUAAUUCUAGAGCUAAUACAUGCUAAAAAUCCCGACUCACGAAGGGAUGUAUUUAUUAGAUAAAAAACCAAUGCCCCCCGGGGCUCCUUGGUGAUUCAUAAUAACUUAACGAAUCGCAUGGCCUUGCGCCGGCGAUGGUUCAUUCGAUCUUCAGCCCUAUCAACUUUCGAUGGUAGGAUAGAGGCCUACCAUGGUUUCGACGGGUAACGGGGAAUUAGGGUUCUAUUCCGGAGAGGGGGCCCGAGCAAUAGCCACCAUAUCCAAGGAAAGCAGCAGGCGCGCAAAUUACCCAAUCCCAAUUCGGGGAGGUAGUGACAAUACAUACUGAUGUGGAGUUCUUUUGGAUUUCACAAUUGGAAUGAGAACAAUUUAAAUCCCUUAUCGAGGAACAAUUGGAGGGCAAGUCUGGUGGAACAGCUGGCGCCAGACGCAGUUUCAGUGGGGCAACCCCCCCGCGAGGAAUCCGGUACCGUGGACACCCAGCGGGUCGAUACGGUGGCGGCCGCCGCAGGCCGUCCGAACGCACGCCAGGAUUCCGGCGGCCUCCCCCGGGAGGCUCGCUUGAGGUACGUGCUAAUCUUCGCCCCCGGGGCAAAGUACAGUUGGCCAGCAGCCGCGGUAAUUCCAGCUCCAAUAGCGUAUAUUAAAGUUGUUGCAGUUAAAAAGCUCGUAGUUGAACCUUGGUCCUGGCCGUCCGGUCCGCCUCACCGCGAGCACUGGUUCGGUUGGGACUUUCCUUCUGGGGAGCCGCAUGUCCUUCACUGGGCGUGCCGGGGAACCAGGACUUUUACUUUGAAAAAAUUAGAGUGUUCAAAGCAGGCAUUUGCUCGAAUAUCUUAGCAUGGAAUAAUAGAAUAGGACGUGCGGUUCUAUUUUGUUGGUUUCUAGGACCGCCGUAAUGAUUAAUAGGGAUAGUCGGGGGCAUCAGUAUUCAAUUGUCAGAGGUGAAAUUCUUGGAUUUAUUGAAGACUAACUACUGCGAAAGCAUUUGCCAAGGAUGUUUUCAUUAAUCAGUGAACGAAAGUUAGGGGAUCGAAGACGAUUGUUCUGGUCGUCCACAGCGCAGCCAGCUAGUCCGCCCCGCCGGGGCGGGCGACACCAUCCCACUGGGGGGCAGCCGUCCGGCUAACCCACAGCUUGGAUCCCCGCGGGGAUUCGGUCUACAGACUGAACGAUGGUGGGUCUCGGCGAGCCCAGGUGGCCGCCGGACUUCUAAUACAGCCGAGUCCGCCGCCGGAACGCGGCCGGUUCAACGCAGAUACCGUCGUAGUCUUAACCAUAAACUAUGCCGACUAGGGAUCGGACGGUGGUUCUAUUUUGCCCCGUUCGGCACCUUACGAGAAAUCAAAG
rnacentral:rRNA from 1 species